AAUUGUCUUGUCGGCAUUGAAAAACUCAUAAUAUUCAUAAAUUGUUUAUAUGAUUUUCAGGAUGGGGCUGGUUUUACUGGUCAAGCAGGAUUCCCAGGCCCAAUGGGACCAAAGGGUGACAGAGGAGAACCUGGUUCACCAGGCUAUGGCAUUAAGGGGGAGAAAGGAGAAUCCGGACUAAUUCUUGGACCUGAUGGAAACCCACAUUACCUUGGUGGACUGACAGGCCAAAAGGUUUUUUGUUUUGUUUUGUUGUUUUUGGUUUGAAAGUGAAUUGGAUGUUGAAGU
rnacentral:lncRNA from 1 species